CAUUAAUAUUUCCUAGGGGAGUGUUGUGGAAAGAACCCUCUAAAGGAAUAAGUUCCUUCAUUACUCAUAAGCUUUAUGGGUUUUUAUUAUGUUUUAUUUACAUCUUGUGGUUAACUGUACUUCUCUUAUCUUUAGGAGUUCAUUGAUAAGCUGAUUGAGGAGGAUGAAUUUGAUGCAGAUCAAAAGGAUGCAUUUAAGAAUUUUGUCAAAGACAAUGUCCGAGAGGCAAAAAAAGCCAAUAAACAGGCUAGAGAAGCCCGAAAAAAGGCCUUGCAGAAAUGAGUUAGUAGACUAAAGCAGCAUUUGAAAACAUGAAGUUUAACAAGUUCUACUCAGUCCAGACCGAUGAUACUCCUGACAUAUCAAAUGUUAAGGUACAAUUUUUUUUUUUUUUGCAAAAGCUAAUAUUAUUAACACCGCCUAAUUAAAAGAAGGUGCACAAAUGUACACAAGAAGUUUAAAAAUGAGACAUAAAGGCAAUUAGAUUGAGAGAUUAACAAAAGGACCUCUCUAUAAUCAUCAAGAGCCCAACCAAUCAACACAAUCUAAUAUGGAUAGUCAUGUUAAAAGCCAUAGAGAGCAUAAGAAAGAAUUUGU